rnacentral:misc_RNA from 1 species
GCAAGAAUGCGAUUCAUCGAGCGGCCUCGCGUCGGCGCCACCCCGCGGGACAGGCGGCGAGAAACCCACGUUUUAAGUAGCUAAUUAUCGCGCGGGGCCGCCACGCUCUCUGAAAAACAACGGCGCAAAAUCGACAACCAUUGGCCGGAUGACUAUGAAUCUUUCGCGUAUGCCCGUCGCUCUCAGCGUUCCAUCAUCAUCGUGUACGAGGGCCCCGUGCCGCUUCCUGUAUGCGGUCUCGAAACAAGCGCAAUAUUUCUGAACCUAUACACACGAGCACAGACUCUUGGCUACGUCCACAGUGAAUCGAGCAGUUUUGACUCGAGGCGUGGAAGGAAGUUGAUCGAGUUGAUUGAUUAAG